CCUUCGCGUUUGCCGGGCCGAACCCCAAGGCGCGUUCGCCCAGGGCGCAGUCUGCGCUCUUGGACGCGGGCCGCGGGCACGUCGGGGCUCCUCAGGGUCGCCCUCAGCCCCUCCUCUCCCCUCCACGGGUGGGCUAGGCCGGCUGGGGCGCCCCUCUGCGUCUCACCAGAGGUCAAGCUGCGAGUCCCCGGAGUCGUUCGGCGGAGCCAGAGCCUGUCCCGCAGCGGACAGACGGGGGGACUUCUCCCAGCCGCAAGGCCUGGCCGCCCAGCGGGCCUGAAAGGCUGGGCGCGCGCUGUGCCCAAGGACAACCAGCAGAGGCUUCCAGAUGGGGCUCAGCGUGCCUCCUGGGCUGAACACGCUCAGCGUUUACCCAGGAGGCGACACUCUCUCCAGUUUCAAAGGACAGCUCGCCGGGGGGGCCCCCCAGUAAAAAGGGGCGUGAAGAUGUCUCUGGGUGGCUUCCCAGCCUCUAAGGCGACAGGAGACGUCGGCCGUCUGCAACCUGGGAAAGGGCCCUCACCAGGCACGGAGGCGACCAGCACCCCUCGAUCUUGGAUUUCCCGGCACCAGAACUGCUCGCACCCUGCUCACCCGGUGGAGGACUUGCCAUCUGGGGCGUGCAUUGCAGCGGAGAGACCCA